rnacentral:lncRNA from 1 species
UCAGACCAGGGUGGCUAACUUUUAUCCCUUUCAUAUCUCACUUCAUAAAAUCAGUGUCAAAAGUCAGACUGAUGACCAAACACAAGAUGCACCUACAGCUCCUGUCCUGUCCUGAAGGCUUCACUUCUUUUGAUCUCUGGGACAACAGGCUGGCUAUUGUCCAUGUGCUGCAUUUUUCCCUCUAGCAACAAAAGAUGGCUACGGAAGCUAAAUGAGCAGUUUGUUGCAAAAUGAGACAGUUGGAGAGACCGCCUGCUCUGGUGGAGUUCCCGGGGCAUUAUGCAAACCCUUCAAAAGAGAGAUCACUGCAACUACCACCACUGAGCUCCCCUGCUGUGAGCUGACAGCUACUCAACAGGAAACAACUACACUGCACAGGCAGCAUACAUGUUUUGGAGUUGCCAUUGUGAAAAUCGUAGGAGUGGUGAAGCAGACAUUGGCUUGGU